UACGUAGGGGGGCAAGCGUUGUCCGGAUUUAUUGGGCGUAAAGCGCUCGCAGGCGGCUCGAUGCGUCGUGCGUGAAACACCCCGGCUCAACUGGGGGAGGGUCGUGCGAUACGGUCGGGCUUGAGGCCAGUAGGGGGGAUGCGGAAUUCCGGGGUGUAGUGGUGGAAUGCGUAGAGAUCCGGAGGAACACCAGCGGCGAAGGCGGCAUCCUGGACUGGUACUGACGCUCAUGAGCGAAAAGCGUGGGGGAGCGAUCCGG
rnacentral:rRNA from 1 species